rnacentral:rRNA from 1 species
GUAGAAUGAGGGGCAAGCAGCCGGGGAGAUGUGUGGGGGUGUAGGUUGAUCCGGAAUUACGGGGGGUAAAGGUGGCGUAUGGGGUUUCUUAAGUAAGAGGUGAAAGGCUACGGCGCAACCGUAGUAAGCCUUUGAAACUGGGAAACGUGAGUGCAGGAGAGGAGAGUGGAAUUCCUAGUGUAGCGGUGAAAUGCGUAGAUAUUAGGAGGAACACCAGGUGCGAAGGCGGCUCUCUGGACUGUAACUGACACUGAGGCACGAAAGCGUGGGGAGCAAACAGGAUUAGAUACCCUUGUAGUC